rnacentral:lncRNA from 1 species
CUUCUUAAAGCAGGAAGCUGGAUUGGAUUACAUGAUUCCUUCUUGAGCUUUCAUUAUGAUCUGAAGCCAAAAUAAGAUCAUGUACACACACACACACACACACACACACACACACACACACGUACAUAUCUUGUGUAUGAUUAAAAGUAUCUUGUGUUGUGCUUCUGUUUGGACCUGAUUCAGGUUAUGGUCUCUUAGGCUCUCCAGCUCUGUUUCACAGUGGCUACUGUUGUUAUCUUUUGCAGCUAUUUUUCUUUGUUCAGUGUCUUAGUCAGGGUUUCUAUUCCUGCACAAACAUCAUGACGAAGAAGCACUUGGGGAGGAAAGGGUUUAUUCAGCUUACACUUCCAUAGUGCUGUUCAUCACCAAAGAAAGUCAGGACAAGAACUCAUGCAGGUCAGGAAGCAGGAGCUGAUGCAGAGGCCAUGGAGGGAUGUUACUUUACUGGCUUGCUUCUCCUGGCUUGCUCAGCCUGCUCUCUUAUAGAACCAAUACUACCAGUCCAGAGAUGGUCCCACCCACAAGGGGCCCUCCCCCCUUGAUCACUAAUUGAGAAAAUGCCCCACAGGUGGAUCUCGUGGAGGCAUCUCCCCAACUGAAGCUCCUUUCUCUGUGAUAACUCCAACUUGUGUCAAGUUGACACCCAAAACCAGCCAGUACAGUCAGCAAACGAAUCCAUGCUUUUCCCUCCUAAGAACAAGCAAGCGCUGUAACAGCAACCCUGGGCUUCCUGACUCCCCCUCGUUCACGUGAAAACAAAACUCUCUGUUACCUUCCCUGAUGAUCUUCGGGUCAUGCGUGGGUGGGAAGGGAGUCACAAGAACAAAUUGUGGGUUUCCUGGUUUCUCUGCACCCUCUGCUGGAGGUCAUGGCUUCUCUGCCUCUUUGUCACCUGGCUCCAGGCACAGGAACUUUUGGAUGUGACACUAGGAAGUGAAUCAUGCAUCGACUUGUGAUCCCCAGCUGCUGGACGGACUCUCUCGAGUUUUAGAUAAGUGGAGACGAGAUUAAAAAUUGAAUACUUUGAAUAAGUAAAAAAAUAAUAAAAAUUCAAUACUUCAUGUAUCAUUUAGUAUCCUCCAAACAACACCUGAGGCACAUUAAAGGUUAUGAGAUAAAAUCAGUGGGUCUUAGCUGGCUCUGUGUGUGUGUGUGUUUAUUCAUCGUAUUAAAUAAUUGUCUCAUAACAACACUCUUAUGUGCUCAUAUCCACUCCCUGUUACCUGUUCUUGUCUCUGUGUCCCUUCAGCUAGUCCUCUUCUUGUCCUUGCAGAUCACAUGUAUGCAUAGAUUUUCAUUCACAUCCCAUAUAUUUUCAGCGCCCCCACCCCUAGCCUCACGGCCAGCAGGGGUAGGAUCCCCGGGAGAUAAAGAAUGAGACUCACUCAGCACACUUCAGCCGGUGCUGGGUCAACACGUCCAUAGUCCAGCCUCAUGGUUUCUUCCUCUUACACAGUUAAGCCCAGUAAAAUGUUGGAAAGGGGUUUCUGGGUGACAAUUAUCCCAACAAACUUUAGGCAUAGCUACACAGAAACUCCCUUGCAAAGUGGCAAAGCACCUGGGACCUUUACAGUAAGAGUGAGUUCUAUUGACCAAUAAACAGAGCUCAGGUCAAGGCCUAAAGAGGAAGGAUUUGUCAUAAACACAAGGAUAGAUUCUAAGAUGGAGGAUGCAAAGAACACGGGAUCUCUUUCAAAAGGGUGAGUUUUAUAAACUAAGAGACAAAGCUCUGGGUUUGGGAGAGAUUCAGGACGUCGGGUUCCACAGAAUAGCACAGAGAUCAGCAGGUUGUUAGAUAACAUCCACUCCAGCCUUCCAGGUGGCCUGGCGUCAGUCAUUUUAGUCAGUUUCUCCAAUGCUGUCCCUAAUCUGUCUCCUUCAGCAGAUGAGAAAUAAAAUGUAAUAUUUCUGAAUGUGUCUUAUUCAACUUAAUAUGAUAAUCUACAGUUUCAUACAGUUUCCUGGAAAUGACAUCACUUCAUUCUUCAUUGUGGCUGAAUAAACCUCCACUAUGGAGGUGGGAGAGAUGAUGGCUCGGCGGUUAAGAAUGCUUGAGUGGGGCCGGACGGUGGUGGUGGCGGCACAUGCCUUUAAUCCCAGCACUCGGGAGGCAGAGGCAGGCGGAUUUCUGAGUUCGAGGCCAGCCUGGUCUACAAAGUGAGUUCCAGGACAGCCAGGGCUACACAGAGGAAACCCUGUCUCAAAAAGAAAGAAAGAAAGAAAGAAAGAAAGAAAGAAAGAAAGAAAGAAAGAAAGAAAGAAAGAAAGAAAGAGAGAAAGAAAGAAAGAAGAAAAGAGCCGGGCAGUAGUGGCACAUGCCUUUAAUCCCAGCACUUGGGAGGCAAAGACAGGUAGAUUUCUGAGUUUGAGGCCAGCCUGGUCUACAGAGUGACCUCCAGGACAGCCAAGGCUACAGAGAAACCCUGUCUCGAAAAACAAAAACAAAAAAGAAGAAGAAGAAGAAGAAGAAGAAGAAGAAGAAGAAGAAGAAGAAGAAGAAGAAGAAGAAGAAGAAGAAGAAAAGAGCAGAAUGUGUGUUAUCUAAUAAAGUAAAAAUUGCCUCAUGAAACUUCUACUGC